GCCGAGACUCGGGGCGCCGAAAAUGGACGGGGCUCAAGCCGGCCGCCGAUACCCCGGGGCGCCGAAAGGCGAUCCGGUAGGGGGGCGUGCCGAUGGCGUAGAAGCCCGAGGCGUAAGCUCGGGUGGAGCCGUCGGUAACGAGAAUCCUGGCGGUAGUAGCAGCGUAGUCGGGUGAGAAUCCCGACCGCCGGAAGGGCAAGGGUUCCACGGCGAUGUUCGUCAGCCGUGGGUUAGCCGGUCCUAAGGCGGCACGUAACUCGUCGCCGCCGAAAAGGGAAGCCGGUUAAUAUUCCGGCGCCGCCCGCCCGGCCGCACCGCAAGGUGCGGUUGCCGCUUAUGCGGCCCGACGCCUCGGGAUAGGCCGAGCCGGUGUCGCCAGCCGGUCCAAGCGCCGAAGCCCCCGGAGUUCCGUAAUGGAGAGAAGGGGGUGAAGGCGUGAUGGCGUAAGUCGGCCGACUCCCGGAGCCCGUGAAAAGGAGGGCGGGAGGACCGUACCGAGAACCGACACAGGUGCCCUGGCUGAGCAAGCCAAGGCGUGGCGGAACACUCCGGCCGAGGGAAAUCGGCAAAUUGGCCCCGUAUCUUCGGUAGAAGGGGUGCCUGCGGUGGUAGUUUUCAGCUGCCACCGCAGGUCGCAGUGCCUCGGGGGGGGCGACUGUUUACUAAAAACACAGGGGGCUGCAACCCCGUAAGGGUUAGUACAGCCCCUGAGUCCUGCCCAGUGCGGGUACCUGAAAGCCGGGUUCAACCGGCCGAAGGGCCCGUAAACGGCGGGGGUAACUAUGACCCUCUUAAGGUAGCGUAAUACCUUGCCGCUUAAUUGGCGGCUUGCAUGAACGGAUUAACGACCCCCCCACUGUCCCCGGCCGUAAGCCGGCGAACCCGACAUCCCAGUGAAGAGUCUGGGGACCCCCGAUGGGAAGCGAAGACCCUGUGGAGCUUUACUGCAGCCUGCCGUUGCGGCAUGGUUGGGGGUGCGCAGCGUAGGCGGGAGGCUUCGAAGCCCCGUCUCCGGGCGGGGUGGAGCCGUCCAUGAGACACCGCCCACCUCCAGCUGUGGGGCUAACCGCUUCGUGCGGGACAUCGGUAGGUGGGCAGUUUGGGUGGGGCGCCACUCCCCCGAAAAGAUAUCGGGGGAGCCCAAAGGUCGGCUCAGGCGGGUCAGAACUCCGCCGUAGAGUGCAAGGGCAAAAGCCGGCCUGACGUGAAUCCGCACAAUAAGGAUUCACGAGCCGAAAGGCGGGCCUAGCGAACCACCCUGUGCCUCUUGGUGAGGCCGGGUGACGACAGAAAAGCUACCCCAGGGGUAACAGAGUUGUCCCCGGCGAGAGUUCAUAUCGACCCGGGGGUUUGCUACAUCGAUGUCGGCUCUCCCCAUCCUGGCCGUGCAGCAGCGGCCAAGGGUGAGGUUGUUCGCCUAUUAAAGGGGAUCGUGAGCUGGGUUUAGACCGUCGUGAGACAGGUCGGUUGCUAUCUAUCGGGGGUGUCUGGGCGGCUGAGGGGAAGGAGGCCCUAGUACGAGAGGAACGGGCCUCCGGCGCCACUGGUCGACCGGUUGUCCGGCAGGGCACUGCCGGGCAGCUACGCGCCAUGCGGCUAAAGGCUGAAAGCAUCUAAGCCUGAAGCCGUCCCCGAAAAGAGCCGCCCAUAAGGGCGCGGGUAGAAGACCCGUUUGA
rnacentral:rRNA from 1 species